ensembl:snRNA U6 U6 spliceosomal RNA
GUGCUUGCUGCAGCAGCACAUAUACCAAAAUUGGAACCACACAGAGAAGCUUAGCAUGGUCGCUGCACAAGAAUUAAAAAUUAAAAAGAAAAAAGCUACAGAAGCAA